rnacentral:rRNA from 1 species
UACGUAGGUGGCAAGCGUUGUCCGGAAUUAUUGGGCGUAAAGGGUGCGUAGGUGGCAUGGUAAGUCGGAUGUGAAAUCCCGGGGCUCAACCCCGGAACUGCAUUCGAUACUGCUGAGCUAGAGUACUGGAGAGGAGAUUGGAAUCUACGGUGUAGCAGUGAAAUGCGUAGAUAUCGUAAGGAAGACCAGUGGCGAAGGCGGAUCUCUGGACAGUUACUGACACUGAGGCACGAAGGCCAGGGGAGCAAACGGG